UACGUAGGGUCCGAGCGUUGUCCGGAAUUAUUGGGCGUAAAGGGCUCGUAGGCGGUUUGUUGCGUCGGGAGUGAAAACUUACAGCUUAACUGUGAGCGUGCUUCCGAUACGGGCAGACUUGAGGUAUUCAGGGGAGAACGGAAUUCCUGGUGUAGCGGUGAAAUGCGCAGAUAUCAGGAGGAACACCGGUGGCGAAGGCGGGUCUCUGGGACGAUCACGAGCGCUGAGGAGCGAAAGUGUGGGGAGCGAACAGG
rnacentral:rRNA from 1 species